AGCGUAUAUUAACGUUGUUGCAGUUAAAAAGCUCGUAGUUGAAUUGAAGUGAACUUGGGUUGAUGUGAUCUUCGGAUGACAUGAAUCAAAGUUGACUCUUUCCAAAGUCAAUACAUUGGUAUUCAUUUAUCUUUGUAUUGUGUUUGGUCAUUUACUGUGAGAAAAUUAGAGUGUUCAAAGCAGACGUUUGUUUGAAUACAUUAGCAUGGAAUAAUCAUAUAUGGCUUUCAUGUUGAUUUGAUUGGUUUGAAUAUGGAAGCAAGAUUAAAAGGGACAGUUGGGGGUAUUCAUAUUCAAUAGUCAGAGGUGAAAUUCUGGGAUUUAUGGAAGAUGAACAAGUGCGAAAGCAUUUACCAAGGAUGUUUUCAUUAAUCAAGAACGAAAGUUAGGGGAUCGAAGAGGAUUAGAUACCCUCGUAGUCUUAACUAUAAACGAUACCGACUAGGGGUUAGUAAUGGUCAUUGUGUGUUUACUAGUACCUUAUGAGAAAUCAAAGUCUUUGGGUUCCGGGGGGAGUAUGGUCGCAAGGCUGAAACUUAA
rnacentral:rRNA from 1 species